AUGAUACGCGAGGAACCUUACCUGGGCUCGAACGUAAGAUGACUGUAGGUGAAAGCUUACAUCUCUUCGGAGCAUUUUACGAGGUGCUGCAUGGUUGUCGUCAGCUCGUGCCGUGAGGUGUCGGGUUAAGUCCCAUAACGAGCGCAACCCUACCUUUAGUUGCCAUCAGGUUAAGCUGGGGACUCUAAAGGAACUGCCUACGCAAGUAGUGAGGAAGCGGGGAUGACGUCAAAUCAGCACGGCCCUCACGUCCAGGGCUACACACGUGCUACAAUGGCCGAUACAGAGGGCAGCUACCUGGUGACAGGAUGCAAAUCUCCAAAGUCGGUCUCAGUUCGGAUCGGAGUCUGCAACCCGACUCCGUGAAGUUGGAUUCGCUAGUAAUCGCGCAUCAGCCAUGGCGCGGUGAAUACGUUCCCGGGCCUU
rnacentral:rRNA from 1 species